AUUGAACGCUGGCGGCAUGCCUUACACAUGCAAGUCGAACGGUAACGGGCCUUCGGGUGCCGACGAGUGGCGAACGGGUGAGUAAUGCAUCGGAACGUACCUUUCAGUGGGGGAUAACGUAGCGAAAGUUACGCUAAUACCGCAUAUUCUGUGAGCAGGAAAGCAGGGGAUCGCAAGACCUUGCGCUGAUUGAGCGGCCGAUGUCAGAUUAGCUAGUUGGUGAGGUAAAGGCUCACCAAGGCGACGAUCUGUAGCGGGUCUGAGAGGAUGAUCGGCCACACUGGAACUGAGACACGGUCCAGACUCCUACGGGAGGCAGCAGUGGGGAAUUUUGGACAAUGGGGGCAACCCUGAUCCAGCCAUGCCGCGUGAGUGAAGAAGGCCUUCGGGUUGUAAAGCUCUUUCGGUCGGGAAGAAAUCGCAUGGGUUAAUACCCUGUGCGGAUGACGGUACCGGCAUAAGAAGCACCGGCUAACUACGUGCCAGCAGCCGCAGUAAUAC
rnacentral:rRNA from 1 species